UGGGCAAUUUACUGCACGACAGUGCGAUAGGGGGAUCCCAAGUGCACAGGCAUAGCGCCUGUGCUUUUCGGUACCCUAAGGCGGUACCAGAAUAAGGGCUGGGCAAGACCGGUGCCAGCCGCCGCGGUAAUACCGGCAGCCCAAGUGAUGGCCGAUCUUAUUGGGCCUAAAGCGUCCGUAGCUGGCCGCGCAAGUCCAUCGGGAAAUCCACCUGCUCAACAGGUGGGCGCCCGGUAGAAACUGCGUGGCUUGGGACCGGAAGGCGCGACGGGUACGUCCGGGGUAGGAGUGAAAUCCCGUAAUCCUGGACGGACCGCCGAUGGCGAAAGCACGUCGCGAGAACGGAUCCGACAGUGAGGGACGAAAGCCAGGGUCUCGAACCGGAUUAGAUACCCGGGUAGUCCUGGCCGUAAACAAUGUCUGCUAGGUGUGGCUCCCACUACGAGUGGGUGCUGUGCCGUAGGGAAGCCGCUAAGCAGACCGCCUGGGAAGUACGUCCGCAAGGAUGAAACUUAAAGGAAUUGGCGGGGGAGCACUACAACCGGAGGAGCCUGCGGUUUAAUUGGACUCAACGCCGGACAUCUCACCAGCAUCGACUGUAGUAAUGACGAUCAGGUUGAUGACCUUAUCCGAGCUUCAGAGAGGAGGUGCAUGGCCGCCGUCAGCUCGUACCGUGAGGCGUCCUGUUAAGUCAGGCAACGAGCGAGACCCGCACCCUUACUUGCCAGCAGUACCGCGAGGUAGCUGGGGACAGUAGGGGGACCGCCGUGGCUAACACGGAGGAAGGAACGGGCAACGGUAGGUCAGUAUGCCCCGAAUGUGCUGGGCAACACGCGGGCUACAAUGGUCGAGACAAAGGGUUCCAACUCCGAAAGGAGACGGUAAUCUCAGAAACUCGAUCGUAGUUCGGAUUGUGGGCUGCAACUCGCCCACAUGAAGCUGGAUUCGGUAGUAAUCGCGUGUCACAAGCGCGCGGUGAAUACGUCCCUGCUCUUGACCACCGGCCCGGCCCAAAAAAAAAAAUUUCAUUGUGGUG
rnacentral:rRNA from 1 species